GCUGCUAUCACCUAGCGUCCGCAUGUCACUGGUGCGGUUUUGGAAUCAGAAUGAUGGGGCGCCGGCCGCUGUCGUAAAAUUAACGCCAACAAAAAGAUGCAUAUUUGCAAGGUUUUUUCCGCUAGCAGCAGCAUAAACAUCGGAAACAGAAAGUGACAACAACAAUAACAACAAAGUCAGAUCGAUUGUAUCCGUUAGUGUCGACUGUGCUUGGGAAGAGAGGUAGUGAUUGGCUGCGCGGUAUGAUUUAGACAAUCGAUAUUAAUUACCAAUUUUUCAAUAGUGUAUCUCAAACAAUAGUUUGUUUUUGUUACAUAAAUUUAACCGUAAAAGAAUUUCUGAUCGAUUGAUGCCAAAACCUCGAAAACCUGAUUAUAGAUGACUGCAAAAUAAGCGCUCAAAACCUGACCACUUUUCUCUGGUUUUCCCUGGUUGAAUUACUAGAUUUUUAAAUUCAGGGGCCUAACUUCGAUAUAGACGUUAGUCAACGUCAAAAACUUGACCGAUCGUGUCUCCGGAGAAAUAUAGUCAAACGGUCAGACUCAGUUUUUUUUUGCUGCUGCAAUUGCGGGUUUUUGUCGUGUUCGCGUUGUGUUUGUUUGGCGAUGCUGAUUCACUUGCAAGUAGGAAAUCCAGCGAUCAAAUUGGACACAAAACACCCUUAUUCUUGUUUACGGCCGUAUCGCUUUCGUACGAAAGCAGCAGCGGCGUACGAAUGUGAUACGAACACAUACGAAUCCGAUUCGUUCUAACCAAUUCGAGCUUUCGAACAUCGUUGCUUUCGUACGAACGUGCCAUUCUUGUUUACGUACGUAUGCGUAUCCGUAUUCUUUUUGCUCUCGUUCGCAAACGUCAGUCAAAAGUUGCGAAUCGCUGUACGAAUCGCCGGCGCCGGUAGUUUUUUCUCGUUUUUCUGCUGUUUUGUGCAAGUUUUAUUUUUUGAAAAAUCGAAUAAGCCGAAGAAAAUUUGUUUUGUGAAGUGUGUGCAACAUUUGCGGUAAUCGAUUUCUAAAAAUUUUCCAGUUUUGGGAACGGAAUACCGCCAGCCGAAAGUUGCGGAUGGCUGUACGAAUCGCCGUCGCCACGGGUUUUUCUCGUUUUGUGUUUUUGAAAAAUUAUUUGGCUGAAGAAAAUUUCUAGCUAUGCGAAAUGUGUGCAACAUUUUCAAGAAAAACAUUUGUGACAUGGAUUUUUAAAAAAGUUUCCAGUUUUGCAAACGGAACAGCAACGUUAGUCAAAAAUUGUGGAUCGCUAUACGAAUCUUUUUACAAAUCGCCGGCGCCGGUAGGUUUUUCUCUUUUUUUUUCGCUGUUUUGUGUUAGUUAAUUGGAAAAAUCGAAUGAGCCGAAGAAAAUUUAUCUAGUGGAUUGUUUAAUAAAUAAUCGUUAUCGAUUUUCUAAAAUUCAUUUUGGUAACGGAACGGAACAUCAAAGUCAGUCGAAAGUUGCGAAUCGCUGCGAGAAUCACCAGCGCCGGUAGUUUUUCCUCGUUGUUUCGCUGCUUGGUGUUGGUUCUUUGAAAAAAAUUGAAUGAGUCGAAGAAAAUUUGUUGUUUCGUGAAGUGUGUGCAACACCCAGAAAAACAUCCAGGAUUUGUGACAAUCGAUUUUUAAAAUCUUCAGUUUCAGAAACGGAACACCGUUAGUCGAAAGUUGCGGAAACGAAUGUACGAAUCGCCGUCGUCGCGGGUUUGUUUCUCGUUUUCCUGCUGUUUCGUGUAAGGUUUUUUUUUUGAAAAAUGGCCGAAGAAAAUUCCUAGUUUAGCGAAGUUUGUGUAACAUUUUCAAGAAAAACAUUUGUGACAAUGGAUUUUUUAAAAUCUAAAUGAAUCGCUAUACGUAUCUCUCUACAAAUCGACGGCGCCGGUACUUUUUUCUCGUUUUUUUCAAGUUGCAAAUGUUUGUACAAAUCGCUGUCGCCGCGGGAUGCUUUGGUUGUUUUGUGUGAAAAAAUCGAAUAAGUUGGACAUUAUUGUUCUAGUGAAAUGUUCAGUGCUAAGAAACCAUGCGGUAAUUAAUUUGAAAAAUGUUGAAAAUUGAGCACAGCCGAUAGAAAUUGAUUGAGGUUUGCCGUUAGUUCUGGGAGAAUGGCGAUAAAAAAUUUAUAAGUCGCUACCAUAAAUGUACUAAUUAUCAAUAAUCUGCCGAAAAUUUGGAUCGUCGGGAACAGCAAAAAGUCAACCACCAAGUAGAUUCUGAUUGGCGCAGAUAGUUGACUGGGUAACAGGAUAUAGGAUAAUCAAUUUAACAUUACUUAAGUGAUAUAGAUGCCGAUGUGUAUACUAGGAAUAAUCGAUCAGGAGCUACUGGAAAUUACUUAAAGUCAAAUCGAGUCACGAUUCUCUUUCCGACAAAUAUUUAUACUUGCUAUGAGAGAUAACUUUGCUGGAAGACUAAGAAUACAACAAAGGAACCAAUUCCCUCGGAUGCUUCACAAAACCGCGUGCUACAAUUCAGAGAGCUGGUUCCGUUUAGUGUUGAUCAAAAUACAAAUGCCGUAUAAUUUAAUUUAAUUUUAUCAAUAAUAAUAAUGAAUUAAUUUUAAUUAUUUUCAUAAUCGAUUGUUAUAUAUAUAUAUCUAGUUAUGGUUCUGACGUGAAGCACUUUGGUUUAUCUUCCGGGAGCGUAAAUUAUUUAAUAAAGGUGAUUGACAUUAGAACGCAAUCGCAAGUUCGAGUUUUUUCCCAGCAAUAAUUUUUUUUUUUAACAACAAGUUUAACGAAAGUAUUCAUAUUUGUGAUCGAAAAACUAGAAAAAAGCCUAUUUAGAUCUAAAAAGAUAAAAAAUCAAUCAACUGGUUCCAGAGGCGUCGCGUGGUUGAUUUCGUCACAUGUGCACCGAACAUUUAUUUAAGUUCUUUUUCCUUAAAUGAAAGAAGCAAAUCAAACCUAAGUGAUUGAUGCUUUGAAUUAAAGGGUGUCGCUAGUAUGCUUACUUGUUUUUAUAGGUUAUUAUAUUUCGAUAAUUGCAUAUGCUCGGAUAUUAGGGAAUAGUGUACCUGUGCAGUGCACAGGUGGACCCGACGCCAUUAAUUGGUUAAAAAAUUAUGGAUGUUUGAAAAUAAAAUACUGCGAAUAAAGCCGUUUUUAUUGGGCACCCUAUUAUUAGGUUUAAUUAAAUAUUCACGAUGUCAGCAUUGCAAAUUGUUUCUCUCAAAAAGCCCUAGAAGUCGUUCAAAGAUAGUUUUAAUGUAACAAUUUAAAUAAAAGCAGUAAG